rnacentral:lncRNA from 1 species
CAGAGAGAGAGAGUAGAGUGAUAGAGUCAGAGAGAGAGAGAGAUGGCAGAAUAAGAGAGAGGGAUAAGGCAGAGGGAAUGACAUAUUCAUCCCUCCCUGACACAGGAGAGAGAGAGAGAGAGAGAGAGAGAGAGAGGGAGAUUAUUUUGUUCCGAUUCUUUAAUAGAACCUCUUUAUCUCUGUUGCAUCUGUGCUGUUAGUGAUCUCUGACAUGGUUUCCCUCCACUGGACCCUGUGUUUCCUUCUAGCAUCGGCCAUUCUGUAUUAAUAAUAGCUUCUGUUGUUGUGAAGUCGUGUGGAACGAUGGUUUGGGUACAGAAGCUGCAUUGAAGACUUCAGUAUGAGGCAAACUCAAUCUCGGCUAGCGCCUCACCACUGCUCCAUCCACUCACCAAGUCUAUUUAUCUGUCUGUUUCAUUUUGCUGGCCUCUUGUGACACGGGAGGAGCA